CGAUAAUCCUUCCAAUCAGACUCAUUGUCUGGAAGAAUCCGUUAUGUUAGACUGCUAAGAAAUCCAAUGCUUACAGAACAUGAUCUAGUAGCUGGCCGGAAAUGCGAGGAUUGAAGACUCUGGAAGCGCCGUCGGCAACGCAUGCAAUAUGCGAAUGAAAUUUCAGAUGUAAAGGAAAUAAUAGCGAAUAAUUUGUCCCAGUCAAUUGUGGAGGAUUGGAACAUUUGGUAACUCCAAGCAUCAAUUAUGCGAUGAUUGUCAUGUGGCCAUCUAACACAUUUUCUCGUUGGAACAGUUCAAUCGAUGAUGAGGAACUGAUUUUGGAUACUGCAACAGUUAUGGCCAUACUAGCGGGGAAUCCUCCGGAAGCAUAUAAUGUUGGGGAUAGAUUUCGUUGAAGAUAAAAGCUUUUCAUGAGAUGGUGCUACAUAUUCUGCUGUGAUUCAUCGAAUCGACGGCAACUUAAUGUUGGUGCUACAUGGUUCCACUCAGCAUUUUCGUUUUCGGCCAAAACGACCAUUAAACUGAAGUUCGAUGAUUACGAUAGUUUGUUCAAUUUCGACCACAGCUUGCGAAUCCUGUGGAUUCUUCAUAGGAGUAGCUAAAUAGAACAACUAGAAGCAGUAACCCCCAUAGAGCAGAUGAAGAUUUGCCUCUUUCGAAAAUAAUACAUCAAAAAGUGAUGUUAAAAUUGAAGUCACUGAAGGACGGUCAGAGAAACAAAAUUUUACGGGAAGUGGAAAUACAAUCCCAGAUGAAGCAUCCUUACAUUUUCUGUUUGGUUCCACGACGAGCAUCGCAUCUACUUGGCGCUAGAGUUUUUGCUAACAUUUGACACAAUCACCUAUGAACGAUUUGAUGAAUGAAAGGAGGCUUAAUACACUUACCUAGUGGCGGAUGCUCGCAAACGCCAUGCAAACAAUGUUAUUCUUCUCAAUCGUAAACCGGAGAGCAUAUUGCUGACGGACGAAGACACCGUGAAAUUAGCUGAAUUUGUGUGAGCUCACACCCAUUCGAAUCGACGGAAGACGAUGUGCGGAGAUUUCUAGAGAAAUAUAUACGAUGACUCAGUGGGCAUUUUGUGUUUCGAGUUUUGCGUCGGUCUUCCACCGUCCGUGUCAGAAGCGAUGCCAGGUACUAUAAGAUUCGACGGUUGAGAAUUGGCUAUCCACGUUUCCUAAGUGCGGGUGCAAGAGUUUUGAUACAAUAAAAACACAAGACGUAUAUUGAAAAGAAUAACUUCCCAUAGUUCCUACUCACGAAAGUUUAUCUGUAAUCUUGCUAUUUAUUUGACUUUUUUGAAUGUUAAUUAUUCCGCUUGAGAAUGUUUUGAAUUACUUUUUGGGAACAAAUAGUUACGAAAUUUUCACUUUGAUGUUUUUCAUAACAAAAACUGUCAAUCACGUUCUUGCUAUUUUCUCUUGAAGUUGGAGUUUUGACAUAAUCAGGAUGUAAUCAAUAGAAAUUUUUAGCGCUAGAGUUUAUGCAUAGAGUAUUGUAUUAGUCGUGCGACUCGCAAGAACAAGUGUCUAGUUGAAGAUGAAACAAAGUAAAAAUGAAAAAAAGAUUGUUUGAGGUAUUAAAGUCCGAAAAAUAUGGUCGAUACAUGAGUAAUACACAAUUACAUACAAUUGUAAUGAUGAUGAAGCUUGCAAGUGUAAAGGUAUCAGGGUAUCAGAUGCUAGAAUCCAUGUUAAAUGAAUCAAACGUGAAUCAUUCUUUGAAAUAUUCGUCAUAUGUUAUUUGUUACGUAUUGAAUUGAUGCAAUGAGCUAGAAGAUUGAAGAUUAUCUAUCAGGUAUUUAGGGAAUUAAUUUGAAUAGAAUGAUAACUUCCGAUAGUCACGAAACUUAAUUGUUAAUAAUAGCAUCUAUCUGUAGCAUUUUUUGUGCUCGAUCAUGACUUCUAUGCCAAACAGUUAGCCUUGAUUGAUAUUCUUGAAUGGAAAGCUUAUGUGUGUACCAGUGUGUACCAGCCGGUUCGAAUGAAAAUUGAAAUCGGAACUUCAUGAGUGAGUAGCACUUACACUCUUAGUCACUCGGGCCAUGUUAGCCACAGCCACAUACAUGGUUUAAUGAUAAAUCGAAACAAAUUUGAGAGCUACUGCGCAAAACGGGAAAUUCUCGGAUUACCCUGGUGGAGGUAUAUAGUUAACCGACCGAGAAAAUGGCGCAUAAACCAGCAGGUAAAACUCUCAAGGCGGAAGAAUAAUACCGACACACAUCGAUGAUGGCUUGUGACAGUUUGUAUGCCCAGAUGUAUCAGCAAACCUCUUCCCGCCUUUUUUGCACAUUCCCCUCUCACACUCUUCGCUACUUACCACUCCCUUCGCUAUCUUACUGAAGAUACGGGCUCACCUUAGUAAUACUUUCUAUUCAUCUUGGAUCUUCUGUCCUCUGAAAUCUACUAAUGUUUUCUAACAUUUCCAAUUCGAGUGCAGUAUAAAUUUAUUUGUGAGAUCAGACUGAUUGAGUGUGCAACGAACAGUGACAGUUGAAAUCCGCGUUGACGGCAUUGAGCUUCGUUUACUAGUUUAGGGUAGCGUCAAAAAAUAAUUGAUUUUCAGGCGGAAUGAAACCGUCCUUAAAAUUAAAAUUAUGUAUGAAAAUUAAUUUUUUGUUUCAAAUCAGUAUUUUAUUUGAAUGAGAAACACUUUUUUGCAGGUGUUGAAAAAAUUUCAUGCGAAAAUUAUUUUUGAAGAUAACUUUAUAUUAUAAUGAAAAGAUUUAGGUAAAAUGUUAGAAAUGCAUAGACAAAUGGUUAAAUAAAAGUCAGAAAUACGUGUU